AGAUUGGAGGGCAUGUAGUCCCUGUGCGGGGGUGCAGGACGCUCCUGACCUCCCCUGCGAGGAGGGCGUGCACUAGGUUCUGAUGGAUGUGAUUUGGAGACAAUAAAAAUGGACAAGAUCCGGUGCGUGGACGUCGCCACAUGCGCGGCAUAAAAAAAAAGCUCAGUGCGCCACUCAUAGACGCGCUCAUCUGGAGGAUGCCUGCAUGCACCGGGAAGCCCCAUCACAUGCACGACAACACAGUGUCUGUGUGUGUGUCACUGUGCACAUUUGUGUGUGUUCAGGCCUAAGGGGUUGUCUGUUAUCUUUGGUUAUCUAGCUGUAUGAGUGGCGUACAUUCUUCAUAAAGCUAGAUAACCGAAAGUAACAAGAAUCCCAUUACGUGACUGCACCACUGAAGGACAUUUUUUAAAGAGAGGAUGCUGCAUGAGGAAAAAAAGAAAGCGUUUGGCCACAUUACGCGCAUGUGAUUGACGGGACGUUCUCCUGAACUAUCACAGCACAGUGGACUGAUCCGUGGUUGGGAUGGCUGAUCCGCAUAGCGGAUGAUAAACGACAAGUGGAUUUCAAGUGAAGGUUAAAAGGAUUCGUCACGUCCUCAUUGCCUCACAAGUUGAUAACAAUAACUGUGAUGCUUCUUAGUUGUAUGCAAUAUGUCAAAUGUUUUUUCAUAGAUGAGGAGAAAUACCAUUUUUUUUACUAUUAUGUCCUAUUUUAGGUUGCAGUGUAGGCCUAACAUUUAUAUGUCUCAUUUGUAUAACAUUUUUUAUGUGUACAAUCAAAUGUCAAUGACAAUCUGUGUGACUAGAAUGCAUGUGAUGUUUUUUCUCAAUGCAUCAUAACUUACCGAUUUACUAUAUGCAGUGUAUUUGUUCUUGUAUUUGACUAACUGCAUGCAGGAUGCACUGCUUUGUAAUGUCAAAUGAUGAUGUUUAUUGUUGUCUUACAUAUGCACACUAUUGUUUUCAAAUCUAUGCAAAUGGGCUUUUGCACAUAAAAACUAUUGUUGAAUUUGCACACUAAACGGCUUGAUGCCGGUGUGAGAAAGUGACACAGCAGCAGGCCUGGCCCUAACCAAUCUGGCGCCCUAGGCAAGAUUUUAGGUGGCGCCCCCCCACAUCGGCAGUGAAGUGUAUAUACUCACAAGAAACCGAAUAGCUUUGUCUUUGACCUUUUUUUUUUACUUAAAGAAAGCAAAUUAACAAUCAGAAUAGUUAACAAGAUAAAAAAAAAUAUGGAUAAAUAAAUGAAUACAAAAAAUAAAAAAUGAAUAUAUGAAAUACAAUAUUUUUUACAUACAUAAACACAAAAUAAAACGUGUCAACAAGUUGCAUAAAAUAAAUUAAAAAUACAAUAUAAAUAAGACACUGCACAAAACAAGAUAUCAAACCAGUAUGACUUUAACAACUAUAUUACAAAAAAAGGGGAUCCUACAGAGUUCUCUAUUUGUGCUUUUUAAUAUUGCAUUAACUAGAAUGACUUACAAAUUACUGUACACCAGGGAGUACUGUAAUUACCUAACGUUAAAUUAUUAUUUUCCAUAACAAUUUAGCCCCCCCCCCACAAUAUUAACCCGACGUUAAAACAGAACUAGCUAUUUAUUAAUUAGCAAUUGCCGAAUCAUGUAACAUUAGCUUAAUGCUAAAAAGCCAGGUUACUAUCACAUUCUGUAACAGACAAAUAAUUUCAUGUAGGCUAACGUUACCUACCUGCUACCUCUGUCUUUUUCUCGUUUCUCCUCCUCUUCUUUUCUAUUUUUUCUUCCCUGGGCACCUGACAAUUUUGGCCGUUUUGACAUCUUGUGUUGAUUUUUUGAUGUGGUGACGUCCAAAAAGAGUCAUGAUACUGGAAGGGAGGGGGCGCACCGUGCCGGGGGAGGGGGGGGGGCGUAAUGUUGUAACAAAUAAUAUUUCUAUUAAAUAGGCUUUACUUUGUAUUUUAAUUAACAUGGGAUUAUUUUAUGUAUUUAGAAAUUAUUUUUUUAUUUUUUUUUCCUCCAACAUUUGUGGCACUGGCGUGGCGCCCCCUGAUGGACGGCGCCCUUAGCAUUUGCCUUUACGGCCUAUGCCACGGGCCGGCCCUGCACAGCAGUACAGGAACACUUCUGCAAUGAUUGUAUGCAUUAUAACUGUUGGCAAGCAUGUACUUUAAAUCAAUUUCAUGUUUGAAAUAUUUAUUUGACAAUUCACUAAUGCAGGGAUGUUCCCAGUGUGACACAUUUUGGACAGCUCUUUUAUUGGCCUUUUAUUAUUUUAAAAAUGAUAGAAGUUUGUGGAGUGUAUAUAUUACACUGAUUUAUCUAAUUUAAGCUAAGAUGUUAUCUUAGUACAAAAAGUGGGAAGAGUUUGGACACUCCUGACUUAUAUUGACAUGUACAUCUAUAGCUGAUUGCACACAAGUCCAUUUUUCAUGCUAUAUCUUUGUUCCAUGCAAAUUAUAUUGUUGAUAUGAUCAAUAAAAACGUUGACAGCGAGACAAUA